UGGACAGAUUAUUGUAUUCGGCUGUAUUCACGGUGUGAAAUAGGGGAUUACACUGUUUUUAAAACGGAAAGUGAAUCAAUUAACAUAAUAGGCUCCU
rfam:Nicotiana sylvestris Nsyl_contig73529, whole genome shotgun sequence.